rnacentral:lncRNA from 1 species
GCUGCCUCAGCAGCUGCUGCUGAUCCGGAUCAAAAGCGAGGCUGAAUACCUGUUUCUCCAUUCUGCACUCCCUCCGGGAACCUGGAAGCUCAGCAGGAGAUGAAGUGGCUGGAGGCGUGUGAGUCCUGCACUUGAUAGAGGCGGAUUCUGUCAAGCCUUACCUGGAUGGUGUGUGUGACUAUCCCCAUAGAAACGAGCAGGCUGUCUCAUGAAGCCUCCAUUCUAGCCUUUUGUGAUCACCUGUGAUCUUAGAGGGCUCCUCUACAACCCCGAGUCCCAAAUAGGUGACUACAAAGUGGGCUCACACUUAUUUCUCCACUAUUCCUGUGUUCUUUCAGGGGGCUGACCAUCAAACCUACUUAGAAAUCAGACCUUGAAUAAGAGUUCUGCUACAAAUGGAAGACUGAAAACUACCUGGGAGAAAUUAAAAAACAAGCAAACACAUGAACAAAAGUCCAUGCAUCAGGGGAAACAUGCCACCAUCACCUCUCGGGCGUGAACUCCUCUGCUUCACUCCGUCAGUUCCAACCCCGCUCACUCUUUGGAUUCUUAGAGCAUCAAACAGCCAGGAGCAACCCCGCCUGCGCCUGCAGACUUUGGGGCUUGUUGGUUCCUGUAUCGGGAACGUGCUCUCCCUUCUUUCAAGUUUUUUCUCAUCACCUUCUUGGUAAGUUCCCUUCUGAUUAUGUCAUUAAGAUUACAACCCACCCUCCGCACGCCGUGGCCUGCCUUUGCUUUAUCUUUCUACUUAGUGUGAAUUGCCGCCUGAAACAUGACGUGUUUUUUCGACUCAGUACUUACGUCCUUCUCCUCCCAAAGCUGUAAUUAAGAUCCAUGAAGGCGGGGGCUCUGUCUGUUUUGUUCAUGAUGCCCUCCCUGCACUGAGAACAGUACAGGCACAGGAAGGACUGCCAAUCAUUGUGUGUUGGGUUAAUGAAUGAAACAAUAAAUAAAUGAAUACCAAGCC